UUUCCGUAGGUGAACCUGCGGAAGGAUCAUUAUCAAAUACAGCGGGCUUCGGCCCUGUCUGCACCCUUGUCUUUUGCGUACUAUUCGUUUCCUUGGUGGGCUUGCCUGCCAAAAGGACACUAUAAAACCACUUGUAAUAGCAAUCAGCGUCAGAUAACUAUAAUAGUUACAACUUUCAACAACGGAUCUCUUGGUUCUGGCAUCGAUGAAGAACGCAGC
rnacentral:misc_RNA from 1 species